CUUCCUCAUUCAUCUUGUGUGGGUUUUUACUCGUUUUUUUUCUCUCCAUCCUUGGCAGCCGGUGUUUGGAAGUGGACAUCGGAAGGAGCGCGGCUGGUUGGCUUGCAGGAGCAGAACCUCGCCAAGACUCGACAGGAUCACAGAAGACGAUGCCAGAGCAGCUCAGAUACACACUAAUCAUCUCUGAACAAAUCCCGGAUCAGUGUGUGUGUGUGUGUGUGUGUGUGUGUGUGUGUGUGUGUGUGUGUCUGGGGAUGGGGGUCAGGGGUUCCAGACACUUCGCAUCAAAUCACACCAUUCCCACAAAUCCAUCCUGAGGAGCAACACAAUUCAUCAUCCUAGAAACCCAUGAAGAACCUUCCCAUAAACAUGCUCUGCUCAGAAAAACAACUAAAUGACCUGCACAUGAACCAGAAUUGUAUCAGAAUAUUCACUGAACCUUUCAUGGAGAUGGAAGUGCACCACAUGGAAGCCUUUCUGGCAGAGAAGCUCUUACUGGACACUAAGGGAAGUGGGAGCUCCGUGGAAAAGAUGCUGGACUUGGUGGGGCCCUUGAGCAAGGCCCUUGAAUCUUCAACUGAUGUAUAAAUGAGAUCAUUGUUGGUCAUUCUGGACAAGAGCAUCUGCCUCAUGCUGUAAAUGCUUUACAAAGAACUACAGAGCUUGGGGAGCUUUGUAUGUGGAAUGUGGGAACCUUUCUUUGAAGGUUUGUAGGAAGCUAAAAACCUUCAAUUAUCAAAUGGACCUUGAAGGAAUGCUAAGAGUUCUGAGGGUUCUAAGCGUUCCAUGAAGAACUUUCAGGUGAACCGCAAAGAAUCUUCAACGGUUUUAUGGAAUAGGAACAAACAGAAUAAACGAAGUGGUGCUAAAAAUAAGGAUGGAACUAAUAGACCUUGAAUGGAGAUGAACUUAAAAUGAGCAUGACCAUGUUCACCUGACAACAAGAGCUCAAAAAUAUAUUAGUCCUCCUCAUCUCAUCACAACUGCAGCUUAGACCCAUUAGUACCAAAUAACACUGCACUUACCAGGUAAAUGUCUCCAAGGAGUUUAAGUGGCGUCCUAUAAAUUGGAAAGAGACUCCACGGGACAUCCAGCUCAUGGACAGCGUCCCAAAUGUGAGCAGGUGGUCGAUAGACGAAUGCAUAGCUCAACGAUGGAGUUCGCCAAAGAGCCGUCUGGGUGAUGGAUAACAGUAGUGAUAAGUUCAGCGGACCUUCAUCAGCACAUCUGUCAAUGUAAGCUGAGCUCUACAGAGCAGUGGCACAGGGGAGCUCAACUCCCUUUUGUGAAGGUUCUUUUCUUUCUGAGGUGUCUGAAUGAUGAUAGCCUUCUACACAAGAUGGCUGCCACAGAAGUAUUUUGUUUGGUUUAGUCUGUGUUAAUAGCAUAUCUGUUAAGUAAAAAGUUUGUGGACACCUCAGCAUAAAAUCAGUAUGUGCUUCUUGAGCCCACAUUUCCUGUGUUAAUGACCUUCACACUUCUGACAAGAUGUUCAACUAGAUUUUGUGGAGAUUUGUGGACACUCAUUCAGUGAUUAGGAUGUGUGAGUUGUUUAAUAGGGUUUAAAGCUGUAAUGCAGGAGAUCUUCCACUCCAAUUCAUUGAAAGCAUAUCUUCAUGGAGCUGGCUUUGUGCAUUGUCAUGCUGGAACACGUUUGGGUUUCCUAGUUUAAGUUAAUGGAAAUGUCAUGCUGUUACAUCCAAAGACGUCCUACACAACUGGUACCUCUGAAUGUAUGCAAACAGUUUGUAAAGUUAUGAUUGACCAGACAGAGUCUGGAACCCAGACUACACCUUGCUACUUAACAACCAUUAAACUAGUGCACCUGUUAGCACACACCUAUAGCACAGCUAACACACAUUCUCUCAGCUUUCCUGCAGCUCGUUUCCACGCUGGUUAUUUUGACCAUCACAAACCAGGGCAUCACUCCCAGUGUCUGGUACAGUCCGGAAAAGUGCAAUUCCCACAAGGCCUGUAAUUACUCCCGGGUCAGAGAGGGCAACUGGAUCGAAUAUGAGAGCAAGAGAGAGAGAGAGCGAGAGCGAGAGAGAGAGAGAGAGAGAGAGCAAAAAGGGGGGGGGACUAAGAGGAAAGACACUACAAGGACAGAAAGAGAGAACAAGUAAAACUAAGAGGAAAGAGGGAGAACACUGAGAGGAAUAAGAGAAAAAAACUGAGAGGAAAGGAGAUAAAACUGGAA